GAUGAAGAACGCAGCGAAAUGCGAUAAGUAAUGUGAAUUGCAGAAUUCAGUGAAUCAUCGAAUCUUUGAACGCACAUUGCGCCCCCUGGUAUUCCGGGGGGCAUGCCUGUUCGAGCGUCAUUUCACCACUCAAGCCUCGCUUGGUAUUGGGCAACGCGGUCCGCCGCGUGCCCCAAAUCGACCGGCUGGGUCUUCUGUCCCCUAAGCGUUGUGGAAACUUUCGCUAAAGGGUGUUCGGGAGGCUACGCCGUAAAACAACCCCAUUUCUAAGGUUGACCUCGGAUCAGGUAGGGAUACCCGCUGAACUUAAGCAUAUCAAUAAGCGGAGGA
rnacentral:misc_RNA from 1 species